rnacentral:rRNA from 1 species
GACGAACGCUGGCGGCGUGCUUAACACAUGCAAGUCGAACGAUGAAGUUCCUUCGGGAAUGGAUUAGCGGCGAACGGGUGAGAAACACGUGAGAAACCUGCCUUUCAUUUUGGGAUAACUCCGGGAAACCGGAGCUAACACCGAAUACUCCGUCUCGGCGGCAUCGCUGAGCCGGGAAAAAAUUUUGAUGAAAGAUGGUCUCGCGGCCUAUCAGCUAGUUGGUGAGGUAAUGGCUCACCAAGGCGACGACGGGUAGCCGGCCUGAGAGGGCGACCGGCCACACUGGGACUGAGACACGGCCCAGACUCCUACGGGAGGCAGCAGUGGGGAAUAUUGGGCAAUGGGCGCAAGCCUGACCCAGCGACGCCGCGUGAGGGAUGAAGGCCUUCGGGUUGUAAACCUCUUUCAGUAGGGAAGAAGCGAAAGUGACGGUACCUAAAGAAGAAGCACCGGCUAACUAUGUGCCAGCCGCCGCGGUAA